rnacentral:rRNA from 1 species
GACGAACGCUGGCGGCGUGCUUAACACAUGCAAGUCGAACGAAAAGACCAUGCUUUUGUGGGGUGCUCGAUUGGCGAACGGGGGAGUAACACGUGAGUAACCUGCCCUUGUCUGUGUGGUAACUUCAGGAAACUCGGGCGAAUACCGCGUAGGAGCUCCUGCUGCAUGUGGUUGGUUGGAAAGAGUCGGCGGUUUUGGCUGGUCUCGCUGCUUAUCAGCUUGUUUGUCGGGUAGUGGCUUACAAAGGCUUUGACGGGUAGCCGGCAUGAGAGGGUGAACGGCCACAUUGGGACUGCGAUACGGACCAGAAGCGUAUGGGAGGCAGCAGUGGGGAAUAUUGCAGAAUGGGGGGACGUCUGAUGUAGCAACGCUGGGUGCGGGAUGACGUGUUUCGGGUUGUAAACAGAUUUGGAAUGUGCCGAAGAGUGAGUGACGGUAACGGGUAAAGAAGCACCGGCUAACUACGUG